UAGAUACCCUGGUAGUCCACGCCCUAAACGAUGUCAACUGGUUGUCGGGCCUCAUUGGCUUGGUAACGUAGCUAACGCGUGAAGUUGACCGCCUGGGGAGUACGGUCGCAAGAUUAAAACUCAAAGGAAUUGACGGGGACCCGCACAAGCGGUGGAUGAUGUGGAUUAAUUCGAUGCAACGCGAAAAACCUUACCUACCCUUGACAUGGUCGGAAUCCUGCUGAGAGGUGGGAGUGCCCGAAAGGGAACC
rnacentral:rRNA from 1 species